rnacentral:rRNA from 1 species
CUUCCCACGGGAGGCAGCAGUGGGGAAUAUUGCACAAUGGGGGAAACCCUGAUGCAGCAACGCCGCGUGAGUGAAGAAGUAUUUCGAUAUGUAAAGCUCUAUCAGCAGGGAAGAAGAUGACGGUACCUGAGUAAGAAGCCCCGGCUAACUACGUGCCAGCAGCCGCGGUAAUACGUAGGGGGCAAGCGUUAUCCGGAAUUACUGGGUGUAAAGGGGGCGUAGACGGUGAUGCAAGUCUGGAGUGAAAGGCGGGGGCCCAACCCCCGGACUGCUCUGGAAACUGUGUAACUUGAGUGCAGGAGAGG